AUUGAAGGCUGGCGGCAGGCCUAACACAUGCAAGUCUAGCGGUAGAGAGGAGCUUGCUUCCCUUGAGAGCGGCGGAUUGGUGAGUAAUGCCUAGGAAUCUGCCUAGUGGUGGGGGAUAACGUUCGGAAACGGACGCUAAUACCGCAUACGUCCUACGGGAGAAAGCGGGGGAUCUUCGGACCUCGCGCCAUUAGAUGAGCCUAGGUCGGAUUAGCUAGUUGGUGAGGUAAUGGCUCACCAAGGCGACGAUCCGCAACUGGUCUGAGAGGAUGAUCAGUCACACUGGAACUGAGACACGGCCCAGACUCCUACGGGAGGCAGCAGUGGGGAAUAUUGGACAAUGGGCGAAAGCCCUGAUCCAGCCAUGCCGCGUGUGUGAAGAAGGUCUUCCGAUUGUAAAGCACUUUAAGUUGGGAGGAAGG
rnacentral:rRNA from 1 species